UGUGAUUGAGGCAGUGCAGCGUAGGUUCAUGAGAUGGAUCCCUGGGAUGGCGGGACCGUCAUAUGAGGAAAGAUUGAAAAGACUAGGCUUGUAUUUACUGUAGUUUAGAAGGAUGAGGGGGAAUCUUAUAGAAACAUAUAAAAUUUAUAAAAGGACUGGACAAGCUAGAUGCAGGAAAAAUGUUCCCAAUGUGGGGCGAGUCCAGAACCAGGGGCCACAGUCUUAGAAUAAAGGGAAGGUCAUUUAAGACCUCAGUGAGAAAAAAACUUUUUCACCCAGAGAGUUGUGAAUUUAUGGAAUUCCCUGCCACAGAGGGCAGUGGAGGCCAAGUCACUGGAUGGAUUUAAGAGAGAGUUAGAUAGAGCUCUAGGGGCUAGUGGAGUCAAGGAUAUGGGGAGAAGGCAGGCACGGGAUAUUGAUAGGGGAUGAUCACCCAUGAUCACAAUGAAUGGCGGUGCUGGCUCGAAGGGCCGAAUGGCCUCCUCCUGCACCUAUUUUCUAUGUUUCUAUGUUUCUAUGCGAACCAACAAAAUACCAGAUCAAAGGGAGGCUACAGAUUUUUGGCUGUUGAACAGAGCAACUACUCGUGGAUAAAAACUGUUUUUAUGUCUGGCUGUGGCAGCUUUGACAGUCCAGAGUCGCUAUCCUGAGGGAAGUGAUUCAAAGAGUUUGUGGCCAGGGUGAGAGGGGUCAGAGAUGAUCUUGCCCGCUCGCUUCCUGGCCCUUGCAGUGUACAGUUCAUCAAUGGAUGGAAGAUUGCAGCCAAUAAUCUUCUCUGCUGAUUGGACGAUUCGCUGCAGUCUCCAGGUGUCGUGCUUGGUGUCUGAGCCAAACCAGACCAUGAUGGAGAUGGUGAGAGAUCGGACUAUCAUGGACUUUAUCUUGCACUAAACAUUAUUCACUUUAUACCUUUUAUCAUGUAAUUGUACACUGUGGAUGGCUCGAUUGUAAUCAUGUAUUGUCUUUCCAGUACCCAGAAUGGGCCCCAGAAUGCGAUCUGAGAAUGAAGUAUCUUUGCUUCUUCUAGACUAUCAGUCAACUUGUAACAUACAUUUUGAAAUACAGUAAAAAAAAAAGAUGAAUGCUAUAAAAAGCGUUCUUUGUCAAAUUUCUUUGAAGAUACGAUAAAACCCGUAAUUUUGCUGUCAAGUACACAGUGGAAUAUUUUAAUACAAUUUCAAUCGACUAUCAUAGUUCAAAGAAUUUAAUGCAGUUUUGUGAGAAACAAAUUAUCACUUUAAAAUGCUGAGUAUCCUGUUUCCUGGGGCUGGAAAACAACCUGCUUUAAAAUCAGUUUGAGAUUACGAGCAGAAUUUGAUUUAUUUUGCCACAGCUGUAAAAAAUGACUUUAUGUAUGGCACACAUUUUUAGCAUAGGACACAUAUAAUACUCAAAACUGUUUCCCUCUUGCUUUGCAGUGGUUGUAAGAUUGAAAACCUGCUUCUCAGAGGAAAUAUUCUCAGUGGAGCCACUCCAUGCAUUUAAAUUCUUAACUCCAUUCCCUCCCGUCCCUGCUCUCCUAUACAUCAUGCAGCGACUCAACAAGAAAGGGAAAGUAAGGAAUAGUGUUUAUGUAGCAGCCUGCCAGAUCUUCUGAAUGACCCAGGCCCUGGAGCAAGUGCAUUACCUUUGAAGUACUGUCAAGUUACUCAUAAUUACGGAGUACCAUUGGAAGAGUAAGCAAAUACGAAGACAAAUAAUGCUGAAAAUGCUCAUCGUGAGGCAACAUCUAUAGAACGAGGGAUUGGAUGACAUAGGGUUCCAGAAGCUGUGUAACAUCAGUUUAUUUGAGGAUCUGCUGGGAUUUGGUGGAGUAUUUUCCAUCAUCUGCAGCUCCUUCUUACACAACUCCAUCUGGGCCAGUUGCUCUCCAGCUCAACCCCAGGAAGACUGAUCUGACUUCUGCAACGGUGAACCUGAGAAGAGUCACACUUGGGACUGAAGUUGGCCUUCUGCUGAAAAUGUGCAUCAAAAGUAUUAUUCAUCAGCUUCCUAUCCUCAUUGAAAUCAAAGUGAUGCCGGAACCUGUACAAGGUUCUGCAGCAUGAUGCAAGAGUCCAAUCCUGAGGGCAAAUGAAGGGGAACCUUGGCAACACUGAUCUCUGUUUAAGCAGGUAAAUAAAGGCAGUCCUGCUCAGAAUCACUGGUAUUUACCAGCAAAUCCCACAUCAUUAUACCUACUUGAAACAUAUAAACAAC